CUUCAUUUCCAUCAUCGAGUAAUUCUUGUCUUUCACUCCAACAAAAGAAUUGCAGAUAAAAAAACCUUUGGGUUUUGUCUAAAAAUUGAUGAUUUGAGCCUGUCAAUUGUAGGUGCAGUAUGAGAGUGUCUGUCGAUAAUGCGCAGUUAUAGGUGCUGCAGGGAUCAUGUCACCGUUACCGUCUAAGAGCUACAGAUUCAAGGUACUUAUUAACUAUAUCAGUCUCCUGCUUGAACUCAUCCAAUCACUCUUCAUCAAGUUGCAACCACCAUUCCGCAUCAAGAGGUACCAAGUGCACCAGGAAUGGGACGAUGGAUGGUUUGUCGCACUUGAGGUUACAGGGCCGGCCCUGAGGCAAUGCAGUCAAAGGCUAUCUUUGGGGCAUCACGAUCAGGGGGGAAUCAAAAAAAAAAAUUUAUUAGGGGAGUUUUAUGUUAUAGCAGAAAACUGGGGGUCUAGAAAAGAAUUAUAAAUACAAAAUAUGAUGCAUUAUUAAAAGAACAAAGGGCAUGUUACGAAGAAGGAGUUAUAAGAGUUAACACUAAAUACAUAACAAGUGGGACGGAUUUCACAUUUUCACUUCAGAAUUUUUUUUUUUGUUAAACUUCUCGUUCUCUCCGUCGGCUGAAAACUCCAUUGCUCCAGGCUUCCAGCCUCCAUGAUGGUGUGAUCCUUCCUAUUUUUCUUCCCAACAAGUCAACAACAAUUAAAUCU